ensembl:lncRNA
CUUGUAGACUGGAGUCACGUCUGCUCACCUCCAGCCAACUGGGACCUCCCUGAGUCUCAACCACCCCUCCCUGAUCAAUUAGAAAUGAACCACUGUGAAAACCCACAGAUUGCUGGAAAGGGGACGAGAAUUAACUAACUCUAGAAGCUGUAAAAGGCUGAAAUCAGACUCCAGCUGCGACAGAGAAACCACUGUCUAAGCUGCUUGUUGCAAUCACAGAUUUUACAGCAAAGGACAUAUACAAUAUGGGACUGCAUCUCAGUCUACAUGAGGCCAUGAUCAAUAAUCAGUGUCAACUUGACUCAGCUGCGCAACAACAAAGCGAUCUGAAUUGCAUGAGUUUGUCAGAGAUUCAGUUGUCUGAAACACAUAAUAUUUACAUUCUACGAUAGCUGAGUGGAAACUCGUGAAAGCCGUAUGUAUAUUUUCUGAUCUUAUAUUUCACAGCCACUUUCAGAUAUACUGACAAGUUCCAAUAGGACUCCAAUGAAAUGGUGAGAGUGGCAUUUUUAAUUAGGGUUUGGAUGAGUGUAUAUAUGUAUCUAUUGGUAUGAAAAAUGGCCCUGCCUGCUUCCUAAUCCUGCAAAAUCAUGGUGAUUUUCUACCUUUUGAUUUUUGAGCAAUGCUUUAUAUGGUCUCAAUUCUAUGUGCAAUGUUUGAAAGCUUUUCAGGAACACAUCUUUUCCGCCCAGAUGAAAUUGACCUUAUUUGUUACAGAAGCUGAGUUGUGGACUCUGAAAUUAAUGUUGACAAGAUUUUAAAAGAUAACUAUUAGUCUGGCAUGCAUUUGGGAAAAUGAUUGGAGGAGUGCUGGAAUCUCAAAAAGUUAGUUCUCAUACAAUUAUUUUUCUGCUGGCUAUGUCUUUCCCCU